rnacentral:rRNA from 1 species
CAGCAGCCGCGGGAAUACGAAGGGGGCUAGCGUUGCUCGGAAUGACUGGGCGUAAAGGGCGCGUAGGCGGAUUGUUUAGUUAGGCGUGAAAUUCCUGGGCUUAACCUGGGGACUGCGCUUAAUACAGGCAGUCUAGAGUGAGGAAGAGGGUUGUGGAAUUCCCAGUGUAGAGGUGAAAUUCGUAGAUAUUGGGAAGAACACCGGUGGCGAAGGCGGCAACCUGGUCCUUGACUGACGCUGAGGCGCGAAAGCGUGGGGAGCAAACAGGAUUAGAUACCCCAGUAGUCCCUGUCUCUUAUAC